CCUACGGGUGGCAGCAGUGAGGAAUAUUGGUCAAUGGACGAGAGUCUGAACCAGCCAAGUAGCGUGAAGGAUGACUGCCCUAUGGGUUGUAAACUUCUUUUAUAUGGGAAUAAAAUGUUCCACGUGUGGGAUUUUGUAUGUACCAUAUGAAUAAGGAUCGGCUAACUCCGUGCCAGCAGCCGCGGUAAUACGGAGGAUCCGAGCGUUAUCCGGAUUUAUUGGGUUUAAAGGGAGCGUAGGUGGAUUGUUAAGUCAGCUGUGAAAGUUUGCGGCUCAACCGUAAAAUUGCAGUUGAAACUGGCAGUCUUGAGUACAGUAGAGGUGGGCGGAAUUCGUGGUGUAGCGGUGAAAUGCUUAGAUAUCACGAAGAACUCCGAUUGCGAAGGCAGUUCACUGGACUGCAACUGACACUGAGGCUCGAAAGUGUGGGUAUCAAACAGGAUUAGAUACCCGAGUAGUC
rnacentral:rRNA from 1 species